AUCCUUUUGUGGUUCAUAAGUGUUAUGACUGGGUUUUCACACCACUGUGUGAAAUGUGCCCCUCUUGAACCUUGUUACGAAAGGUUUGGCAAAUGAUCAGUCUGAAG
ensembl:snoRNA